ACUCAGCAUGGACAUGAGGGCCCCUGUUCAGCUCCUUGGGCUCUUGUUGCUGUUGUUUCCAGGUAUCAAGUGUGAUGUCCUGAUGACUCAGUCUCCAUCUUCACUGUCUGUAUCUCUGGGAGACAGAGUGAGAAUCAGUUGUCAGGCCAGUGAGGGCAUUAGUAAUUAUUUAAGCUGGUACCAGCAGAAACCAGAGAAAGCUCCUAAGCUCCUGAUCUACCGUGCAUCCAAUUUGGAAAAUGGAGUACCAUCUAGGUUCAGUGGCAGUGGGUCUGCAACAGAUUUCACUCUCACCAUCAGCAGCCUCGAGUCUGAAGACACUGCAAUUUAUUACUGUCUACAGACUAGUAAGCUUCCUCCCACAGUGAUAGAAGUCAUAACAUAA